rnacentral:rRNA from 1 species
GACGAACGCUGGCGGCGUGCCUAACACAUGCAAGUCGAGCGAGAAGCUAAUGAACGCGACUUCGGUCAAGUGAAUUAGUGGAAAGCGGCGGACGGGUGAGUAACGCGUGAGUAACCUGCCUUAUGGAGGGGGACAACAGUUAGAAAUGACUGCUAAUACCGCAUAACAUACACGGACCGCAUGAUCUGUGUAUCAAAGCUUUAUGUGCUGAAAGAUGGCCUCGCGUCUGAUUAGAUAGUAGGCGGGGUAACGGCCCACCUAGUCUACGAUGUCUAGGGGUUCUGAGAGGAAGGUCCCCCACACUGGAACUGAGACACGGUCCAGACUCCUACGGGAGGCAGCAGUGGGGAAUAUUGCACAAUGGGGGAAACCCUGAUGCAGCGACGCCGCGUGAGUGAAGAAGUAUUUCGGUAUGUAAAAGCUCUAUCAGCAGGGAAGAUAAAUGACGGUACCUGACUAAGAAGCCCCGGCUAACUACGUGCCAGCAG